rnacentral:rRNA from 1 species
UACGGAGGGGGCUAGCGUUGUUCGGAAUUACUGGGCGUAAAGCGCACGUAGGCGGCUUUGCAAGUCAGAGGUGAAAGCCCAGGGCUUAACCCUGGAAUUGCCUUUAAGACUGCAUCGCUAGAAUCGUGGAGAGGUGAGUGGAAUUCCGAGUGUAGAGGUGAAAUUCGUAGAUAUUCGGAAGAACACCAGUGGCGAAGGCGACUCACUGGACACGUAUUGACGCUGAGGUGCGAAAGCGUGGGGAGCAAACAGGG